rnacentral:lncRNA from 1 species
UCGGGGUGUAUCAAUAUUGGCAUCGUCACUGGCCCCCGUGCACUUUUCCUAGAGAUCUAGCUCUUAGGAUGGGGUGCACAUGAGUUAUGUCAUUUCUCAAAUCGUCGUCGAGAAGUGAUGGCUGAUGAUAGAGGUCGAGAUAUGACCGUUGCAGAGAAUGGCUUGGAUUUGCGACCUUUGGCCUCCCAUCGUUUUCACCUAUAAAUACUGCUGUUCUCACCUUUAUUUUUCACUUUUACCCACUGUAAAUCUGAGUUCUGCGAGGUCGUGCUCGAGAGAAACACUUUGGGAACUUCUCAAGUCGUCGGGAACUCCUGGUAAGGCUCGAGACUUUAAGUUAUUCAUAAGCUAGGUCUUAAGUUUGCUAAGAGAUGUCGAGUAGUGAGGGUCGAGAUUCUUCUAGUAGUUCUAGUAGUAGUGAGGACGUAGGGACGUCGAUAAUACUGACGGCUAUUCCCCUAGAGGCUACUCCCGAGGCUCAGGUUAAUAUGGUCUUUGAGUAUCCCGACGAACCCUG